rnacentral:tRNA from 1 species
GAGACAUUAGCUCAGCCGGUAGAGCACCGCCCUUUUAAGGCGGGUGUCGAGGGUUCGAAUCCCUCAUGUCUCA